rnacentral:rRNA from 1 species
UGGGGAAUCUUCCGCAACGGACGAAAGUCUGACGGAGCAACGCCGCGUGAGUGAAGAAGGUUUUCGGAUCGUAAAACUCUGUCUUUUGGGGCGAACGUGAGUAUGGUGAACAAUCAUAGUCAGUGACGGUACCAAAGGAGGAAGCCACGGCUAACUACGUGCCAGCAGCCGCGGUAAUACGUAGGUGGCAAGCGUUGUCCGGAAUUAUUGGGCGUAAAGAGCGCGUAGGCGGGAUAGUCAGUCUGUUGUAAAAGUGCGGGGCUCAACCCCGUGAUGGCAAUGGAAACAGCUAUUCUUGAGUGCAGGAGAGGAAAGUGGAAUUCCCAGUGUAGCGGUGAAAUGCGUAGAUAUUGGGAGGAACACCAGUGGCGAAGGCGACUUUCUGGACUGUGUCUGACGCUGAGGCGCGAAAGCCAGGGGAGCGAACGGGAUUAGAUACCCCGGUAGUCCUGGCCGUAAACGAUGGGUACUAGGUGUGGGAGGUAUCGACCCCCUUCCGUGCCGGAGUUAACGCAAUAAGUACCCCGCCUGGGGAGUACGGUCGCAAGACUGAAACUUAAAUGAAUUGACGGGGUCAUAGCUGUUUCCUG